UAAGGAAUAUUGGUCAAUGGACGCAAGUCUGAACCAGCCAUGCCGCGUGAAGGAUGAAGGCCCUCUGGGUUGUAAACUUCUUUUACAGGGGAAGAAACCUCUUUUUUCCAAAAGAGUUGACGGUACCCUGGGAAUAAGCACCGGCUAACUCCGUGCCAGCAGCCGCGGUAAUACGGAGGGUGCAAGCGUUAUCCGGAUUCACUGGGUUUAAAGGGUGCGUAGGAGGGCAGGUAAGUCAGUGGUGAAAUCUCCGAGCUUAACUUGGAAACUGCCGUUGAUACUAUCUGUCUUGAAUACCGUGGAGGUGAGCGGAAUAUGUCAUGUAGCGGUGAAAUGCUUAGAUAUGACAUAGAACACCAAUUGCGAAGGCAGCUCACUACACGAAUAUUGACUCUGAGGCACGAAAGCGUGGGGAUCAAACA
rnacentral:rRNA from 1 species